UGCUCCUAGUACGAGAGGACCGGAGUGGACGCAUCACUGGUGUUCGGGUUGUCAUGCCAAUGGCACUGCCCGGUAGCUAAAUGCGGAAGAGAUAAGUGCUGAAAGCAUCUAAGCACGAAACUUGCCCCGAGAUGAGUUCUCCCUGACCCUUUAAGGGUCCUGAAGGAACGUUGAAGACGACGACGUUGAUAGGCCGGGUGUGUAAGCGCAGCGAUGCGUUGAGCUAACCGGUACUAAUGAACCGUGAGGCUUAACCUU
rnacentral:rRNA from 1 species